rnacentral:rRNA from 1 species
GACGAACGCUGGCGGCGUGCCUAAUACAUGCAAGUAGAACGCUGAAGAGAGGAGCCUGCUCUUCUUGGAUGAGUUGCGAACGGGUGAGUAACGCGUAGGUAACCUGCCUUGUAGCGGGGGAUAACUAUUGGAAACGAUAGCUAAUACCGCAUAACAAUGGAUGACACAUGUCAUUUAUUUGAAAGGGGCAAUUGUUCCACUACAAGAUGGACCUGCGUUGUAUUAGCUAGUAGGUGAGGUAAUGGCUCACCUAGGCGACGAUACAUAGCCGACCUGAGAGGGUGAUCGGCCACACUGGGACUGAGACACGGCCCAGACUCCUACGGGAGGCAGCAGUAGGGAAUCUUCGGCAAUGGGGGCAACCCUGACCGAGCAACGCCGCGUGAGUGAAGAAGGUUUUCGGAUCGUAAAGCUCUGUUGUAAGUCAAGAACGGGUGUGAGAGUGGAAAGUUCACACUGUGACGGUAGCUUACCAGAAAGGGACGGCUAACUACGUGCCAGCCGCCGCCGUAACAC